CGAUGCACAACACAAACGAGACAAUUGACAUAGUAAAUAAAGGCAUUAAUGGUUCCCUUGUCACCACGUUACAGAUAUAUCUCCUGCAUGAUGAAUUUAUACACCAUGCCAAGUCAAAUGAUUUCUUUAAAGUUUAUCCAAGAAGCACAAGCAUUCCCAAAAGGUUCAUGGAAUCCUUAACAUUCAAGAUACAUUAUAAACAUUAAACUAUCAGUGAAAACAAUAAAGUUGUGCUUCAUUGAAUCUUUAACAUCUAAGAUACAUUAUCAACAUUACAAGAAACCAAUAGUUUUUAAACUAUUAGUGCAAACCAUAAAGUUGUCUCUAAUUGUUUGAUACCAACAGAUAUAAACAAAAGCAUGUAAAUAUCGCAAAGAAUAAUAAAUAUUUUUCAGUAUUGAGGAUCAAGUUAUAGAAAUCAAGACUUCUUGGCCUCUGUAGAGAUAACAAACAAAUAAACUUCCUAAGAUCAAGUUAGAGAAAUCAAAACCUCUUGGCCUCUUUAGAGAUAACAAACAAAUAAACUUCCUAAACACUUGGUUUUUUCCAAAGAUGAAACAAAAUCACAGCCUCUUAGCCUUUGUAAAGAUUACAAAGUGAAACUAUGUUGAACUUCCUAAACACUUGGUUUUUUAACGUGAAAAAUUGGAUUUAAUAUUUAACACUUCAAUAUUCCUCUUAAAUAGAAAUUGUUACACUUCAUAAUUCAAUAAAAUAUAAACUUCAAAUGUAAACCGCGACACUUUAUUCUUCAAAAUUGGAUCAUCAAAUUUUUUUUGCCUAGGUCAGUAUCACUAUACCCAUUCGCAGCGUUAGCUUGCGAAUAUGGGUUGUGAAGCUCACUAAAAGUUUCCUUUUCACCAGGUAACAAGUUUUUUCAAAUAGGUGCUGGCGUUGGCUGCUAGAGGCUACUGUACACAAAAAAAAUUAAAAAAGAAAAAAAAAAGAAAAAAUUAAAACAUCAAGAGUCGAAACUCAGUCUUAACUCAAUCUUCUUUAAAUGUAGAUUCAAAGGAUAAUCCAUGAUUAAGAAUAAAUAAUAUUUUAUUUUUAACUUAAUUUAGUCCAAAACUUUAUACACACUACAAAUUUGGGAAAAAUAGAUUCGAUUUGCUAUAAACGACGUUAGUAAAUUGCGAACAUCAGGGAGGGAUUCUGGAUAUUUACUAGAGCUACAAACAUAAAUAAUAAACACGUAACAUAUAUAUUACACCUAUAAAAGCACAAAAUUUUACAAAAAAGGGAAUUUGAUAGAAUAAUUUUUGGGUUGCUGAAUUCUUAUCUUAGAUUCUUCGUCGAGAUUAUCUUCUUAGCGUCACAACAGCCAAUAUGGCUACCUCUUGCUCAGCCAGUUUCUUACUUCCAUAUGUAUGUGUUGUUUCAAAAACUUCUUCAUUUACUAUAGUCCUUGAUUUGAAGAGUAAUGGAUUAGAAGAUACUUGCUCCGUAUUGUAUAAGGGCAAUAGGAGCAACUUCUUUCGUAGGUAUUCUUGUCAUUUAUUUUUAUAUGAUAUCUUAAAAUUUUGUUGAAAUGAAUUAAGAAAUAAGAAUAGACAAAAUAGGUUGUUUCCAGUAAGGAAUUUAAUGAAAACCAUCUAAUAUAUAUAAGAUAUUUUGGAGCUACUUUGUAAGACCUUGGAGAUUUU
rnacentral:lncRNA from 1 species